rnacentral:rRNA from 2 species
AGCUGAAGGUACUGUACGAAUAAGCACCGGCUAACUCCGUGCCAGCAGCCGCGGUAAUACGGAGGGUGCAAGCGUUAUCCGGAUUUAUUGGGUUUAAAGGGUCCGUAGGCGGACUUGUAAGUCAGUGGUGAAAUCUCAUAGCUUAACUAUGAAACUGCCAUUGAUACUGCAGGUCUUGAGUAAAUUUGAAGUGGCUGGAAUAAGUAGUGUAGCGGUGAAAUGCAUAGAUAUUACUUAGAACACCAAUUGCGAAGGCAGGUCACUAAGAUUUAACUGACGCUGAUGGACGAAAGCGUGGGGAGCGAACAGGAUUAGAUACCCUGGUAGUCCACGCCGUAAACGAUGCUAACUCGUUUUUGGAUUUUCGGAUUCAGAGACCAAGCGAAAGUGAUAAGUUAGCCACCUGGGGAGUACGUCCGCAAGGAUGAAACUCAAAGGAAUUGACGGGGGCCCGCACAAGCGGUGGAUUAUGUGGUUUAAUUCGAUGAUACGCGAGGAACCUUACCAAGACUUAAAUGGGAAUUGACAGGUCUAGAAAUAGACCCUCCUUCGGGCAAUUUCCAAGGUGCUGCAUGGUUGUCGUCAGCUCGUGCCGUGAGGUGUUAGGUUAAGUCCUGCAACGAGCGCAACCCCUGUCACUAGUUGCCAUCAUUCAGUUGGGGACUCUAGUGAGACUGCCUACGCAAGUAGAGAGGAAGGUGGGGAUGACGUCAAAUCAUCACGGCCCUUACGUCUUGGGCCACACACGUAAUACAAUGGCCGGUACAGAGGGCAGCUACCUAGCGAUAGGAUGCAAAUCUCGAAAGCCGGUCUCAGUUCGGAUUGGAGUCUGCAACUCGACUCUAUGAAGCUGGAAUCGCUAGUAAUCGCGCAUCAGCCAUGGCGCGGUGAAUACGUUCCCGGGCCUUGUACACACCGCCCGUCAAGCCAUGGAAGUCUGGGGUACCUGAAGUCGGUGACCGUAAAAGGAGCUGCCUAGGGUAAAACAGGUAACUAGGGCUAAGUCGUAACAAGGUAGCCGUACCGGAAGGUGCGGCUGGAACAUCUCAUU